CACAUGCAGUCGCUCAUCCAAGGUCUGGAUGAGACCACUCAUUCCAUCCAGUAUUACGUUACUUAAGCAUGCCAUACUUCUGUGAAAAAGCAAGUAUUCUCUCAGAUGAAGAAGCAAGGGAAAAUGCAAGUUUUACCUGUCUCUGAUCUUACUCAGGGUUAAUUCUUGUGAUCAUAGAAUCACAGAGUGGUUCAUUAUGCUGGAAAAUCCAUCUGUCAUCACAGGAACCAACUUGCCAAAGACCUGGAGCAAUGGGUAUGGCCCCUGAGACAAGAAACCCUGUUACAGUUUGUGUGGAUGACCUUCUGAUAGCUACUGAAACAAAGGAGAACACCUACUGGAGUCCCAUCUGAAGAACAGAAACUGGACAGCAGCAGCAAGGAUUGAAAAUAGAUUGGAAGAACUGCCCUGAAGAAAAGGAUCUGAGAAUGUCGAUUGACAGCAAGCUCAACAUAAAUCAACAGAGUGCCCUGGCAGCCAAGAGAACAAUGCAUUAAACACAGCAUAGUCAGUUGGACAAGAAAGGUGGUUCUACCACUGUCUUUAGUAUCAGUGCAGCCUCACUUUGAGUAUUAUGUGCAUAUUGUGCAGAAUUCUAGUCUCCAUGAUAAGUAAGUGUGUUAGAGUACUUGAAAUUGUCCAGAGGAGAACAGUAAAUCUGGUGAGAGGCUGGAAAACAUGUGCUAUGAGGAAAGGCUGAGGACACUGUUGUCCAGUCUGGAGAGAAGAAGGCCAAGCAGUGACCUCUUUGCUCUCUGAAACUUCCUGAGGAGAGGAGUGUGAAGGGGAUGUGUAACCAGGGACAGGAUGUGUGGGAAUGGCACAGAGCUGUACCACUGGAGGGGCAGACUCGUUGUUAGGAAACAUUUCUUUGCCUUGAAGGUGGUCAAAGAGUAUUACAGACUUCCUAGAGAAGUAAUUGAUGAAUCAUCACUGUCAGUGUUUAAGAAGCCUUUGGAUAAUACUGUCAAUAACAUGCUUUAACUUCUGAUUAGCCCUGAAGUAGUUAUAUAUUUGGAUUUGAUCUUUGUUGAUCCCUUUCAACUGAACUGUUCUGUUGACAUUAGCAGAAUGUUGCUCAUCAUAAAACAGGAA
ensembl:lncRNA